rnacentral:rRNA from 1 species
UACGUAGGCAGCGAGCGUUGUUCGGAGUUACUGGGCGUAAAGGGUGUGUAGGCGGUUGUUUUAAGUUUGGUGUGAAAUCUCUCGCUCAACUGGGAGGGUGCGCCGAAUACUGAAUGACUUGGAGUGCGGGAGAGGAAAGUGGAAUUCCUGGUGUAGCGGUGAAAUGCGUAGAUAUCAGGAGGAACACCGGUGGUGUAGACGGCUUUCUGGACCGUAACUGACGCUGAGACACGAAAGCGUGGGUAGCAAACAGG